GUCUAUGGCCAUGCCACCCUGAACGUGCCUGAUCUCGUCUGAUCUCGGAAGCUAAGCAGAGUCGAGCCUGGUUAGUACUUGGAUGGGAGACCACCUAGGAAUACCUGGUGCUGACGGCA
rnacentral:rRNA from 1 species